CCUACGGGGGACAGCAGUAGGGAAUCUUCCACAAUGGGCGAAAGCCUGAUGGAGCAACGCCGCGUGGGUGAAGAAGGUCUUCGGAUCGUAAAACCCUGUUGUUAGAGAAGAAAGUGCGUGAGAGUAACUGUUCACGUUUCGACGGUAUCUAACCAGAAAGCCACGGCUAACUACGUGCCAGCAGCCGCGGUAAUACGUAGGUGGCAAGCGUUAUCCGGAUUUAUUGGGCGUAAAGGGAACGCAGGCGGUCUUUUAAGUCUGAUGUGAAAGCCUUCGGCUUAACCGGAGUAGUGCAUUGGAAACUGGGAGACUGGAGUGCAGAAGAGGAGAGUGGAACUCCAUGUGUAGCGGUGAAAUGCGUAGAUAUAUGGAAGAACACCAGUGGCGAAAGCGGCUCUCUGGUCUGUAACUGACGCUGAGGUUCGAAAGCGUGGGUAGCAAACAGGAUUAGAUACCCCAGUAGUC
rnacentral:rRNA from 1 species